AAUAGAGUGUGCCUGCUCCCUAACCUGCUCCAUGCUGUGAUGGAGGGACAAGCAGCUGAUAAAGCAAGGGGAUGUGCUAACUCCAGUGGUGAUCAGGGAGCUGUGCUUGCCUCUGUGCCCUUAUCAGCAAAAGGAUGGCUGCUACGGCCUCAACUGGCUUUGUUUUGGGAACAUCUGUGUAAGGUUGUGUUCCUGCUUUGUGCUGGGACUGAAGCAGUGGCUGGAGUUCAGUGAGCUUCUCUUCUCUCGUGAGGAGAGAUGCUAAGCAGUCUAAGGCCUUCUUGACUCCUGGAAAACCUGGGGUGGAAGAAGGCUUCUGACAAUCUGCACAUCGACUUACUGCUUGAACUCUAGGGUCCCCAGUGUUUGGAGGUCCUGCCAUUCCUCCACCAGCUGGCCAGGAUGCCAGAGGGCCCCUCAGUGAGGAAGUUCCAGCUGCUGGCCUCCCGUUUUGUGGGGCAGGUGGUGGCCAAGGUGGGGGGAAGCACCAGGAAGAUAAAUGUGAAUGACCUGAAUGCCUUGAGGCUCCAGGACUCCCAGGUUCAUGGGAAGAAUUUAUUCCUGGCCUUUGUGGCAGCUGGCUGUCCCUCAGGACCAAGCACGGAAGAGCCAGUGCCGCAAAGAGAAGCUGCUAGCGGGACAAGUUCUCCUGUCCAGGUCUGUGCUCCACAGACACAUCCCAAGGAAGAGGAGCUGCAGGAGCUCCAGUGCUCCAGACCUGAUGCCCCAGGUGCAGCAGCGGGUCCGGGCAGCUGGCUGCGCUUCCACUUCGGCUUAUUCGGCAGUGUUCGGGCAAACGAGUUCUCAAGAGCAAACCAGGCCAAUAAGAGGGGAGACUGGAAGGACCCCAUGCCCAGACUGGUUCUGCAUUUUGAGAGUGGAGGCUUCCUUGUUUUCUACAACUGUCGAAUGCAGUGGUGCUCGUCUCCAGUGGCUGAUCCUGCGUCUGACAUCCUCUCUGCUGAGUUCCACCGUGGCCAGGCGCUGGAUGCCCUCCGUGCACCCAACCCUGUCUGCUACACCCUCUUGGACCAGAGAUAUUUCUCAGGGCUGGGGAACAUAAUUAAAAAUGAGAUCCUGUACCUGGCAAAGAUCCAUCCAUUAACACGAGGAUCUCUCUUGGCGCCUUCAGAUCUCGAGCAUCUGCUUGAUUGUGCCAUUCAAUUCAGCUCAGACUGGCUACAGAGCAAGCUGCGUGGUGAAGGGUUGCACCUUCAGAUCUACCACAAGGAGCAGUGUCCCCUUGGGCAUGCGGUGAUGAAGGGAACCUUUGGACCCUCUGGUGGAUAUAAGAGACUCACAUGGUGGUGUCCUCAGUGCCAGCCUGCAGUGCUGUCAGGGGUCGGGGAGCCUACCCCAGUCACUGAGUGACCUGGUUUUAUGUUCCUCGAUUCCUGGAAGGUGUCUAGGUGUUCCUGAAAGGUCUCCUGAGAUGCAAAAAGGAGAAAGUGGUUGCAUUUUUUUUGGUGACAAAACAGUGUAAAAAGUUUGACCAGUUCUGAGGUGUCUUUGUCUCUAUGUCUGUGCUUCAGUGAAUGGGAAGCUUAGGGUGCUGAGCAGGUGACUACUGUCACUGAGACUCUUGUCCUUGACCCUGGUACAAAUAAAGUGACUUCAGAUGGAGUUGAGUUAAAGGAGUAGGUCUGGCUGUCUACACAGCUUGAUUGGUUCACUGUUAGAUAAUCCUACCUAUGUUUAUAGCAGUGUUACGUGUGUGUUGGGCUGUGAUUUAGGUGUGGUUAAAAAAUGAGUGUUUGUUCCUCUGUCAGCUCUUGUGAGAACAGCUGCCUCCUUCCAAGGGAUGAAAACCUCAGCAGUGCUUGGUGUGUAGCUCAGCUCUGCCUCCCAGAGCAUCUGCCCCCACAGGCUGUUUUCUGGCAAACUCUGCCAAAUCCAGGUCUUGAUGUCAAAAAAAAAUCAGCUUUAACAAAGUACCGGGGUGGUUCCAAGGAGAGGGACUCAGUAAGGUCCCCAGCUACAACUAGGAUCACAAGCCUGACCAAUGUGGGGGUAUCUAACAAUGUUUGUGAUGGGGACUGCAUAAAACUCAUGAUCUUCAAGGUACCUUGAAAGCAGAAAGAUUUGGAAAUACAUGAUACCGUCCCUAGCUUGUCAGAGCUGUCUCUCUCCAUGCAGUAGGGCAGAAGGUGUUGCAGUUCUCUCUCCCUGAGUUUGGCUUUAAUUUAACAAUGGAUUGUUGACUUCUGAGUGAAAAAUAAAAACUGAAUUA